GAGGGUGCAGCUUAGUGGUACAGCAUUUACCUAGCAUGCUAGAGGGACUGUGUUCAAUCCCCAGUACCCCCC
rnacentral:tRNA from 1 species